rnacentral:rRNA from 1 species
GACGGAGGGUGCAAGCGUUGUUCGGAAUCACUGGGCGUAAAGCGCGUGUAGGCGGUUUGAUUAGUCGAAUGUGAAAGCCCGAGGCUCAACCUCGGAAGUGCAUUCGAAACUGUCAGGCUCGAGUACGGGAGAGGGAAGUGGAAUUCCUGGUGUAGAGGUGAAAUUCGUAGAUAUCAGGAGGAACACCGGUGGCGAAGGCGGCUUCCUGGACCGAUACUGACGCUGAGACGCGAAAGCGUGGGGAGCAAACAGG